rnacentral:rRNA from 1 species
AGUGAACGCUGGCGGUAGGCCUAACACAUGCAAGUCGAACGGCAGCACAGUAAGAGCUUGCUCUUACGGGUGGCGAGUGGCGGACGGGUGAGGAAUACAUCGGCAUCUACUUUUUCGUGGGGGAUAACGUAGGGAAACUUACGCUAAUACCGCAUACGACCUACGGGUGAAAGCAGGGGUUCUUCGCACCUUGCCCGAUUGAAUGAGACGAUGUCGGAUUAGCUAGUUGGCGGGGUAAAGGCCCACCAAGGCGACGAUCCGUAGCUGGUCUGAGAGGAUGAUCGGCCACACUGGAACUGAGACACGGUCCAGACUCCUACGGGAGGCAGCAGUAGGGAAUAUUGGGCAAUGGGCGCAAGCCUGAUCCAGCCAUACCGCGUGGGUGAAGAAGGCCUUCGGGUUGUAAAGCCCUUUUGUUGGGAAAGAAAAGCAGCAGGUUAAUACCCCGCUGUUCUGACGGUACCCAAAGAAUAAGCACCGGCUAACUUCGUG